UACGUAGGGUCCGAGCGUUGUCCGGAAUUACUGGGCGUAAAGAGCUCGUAGGUGGUUUGUCGCGUUGUUCGUGAAAACUCACAGCUCAACUGUGGGCGUGCGGGCGAUACGGGCAGACUAGAGUACUGCAGGGGAGACUGGAAUUCCUGGUGUAGCGGUGAAAUGCGCAGAUAUCAGGAGGAACACCGGUGGCGAAGGCGGGUCUCUGGGCAGUAACUGACGCUGAGGAGCGAAAGCGUGGGAGCGAACAGG
rnacentral:rRNA from 1 species